ensembl:snRNA RNU6-757P RNA, U6 small nuclear 757, pseudogene
UUGCUCGCUUCAGCAGCAAAUAUACUAAAAUUGGAAUGAUACAGAGAAGAUUAGCAUGCCCCUUGUACAAGGAUGACACACAAAUUCGUGAAGCAUUUUU